GAUGAACGCUGGCGGCGUGCUUAACACAUGCAAGUCGAACGAAGUGGCGAACGGGUGAGUAAUACGUGGGUAACCUGCCCUCCUUUUUGGGAUAAGCCUUGGAAACGGGGUCUAAUACCGAAUUAAGGGGGAUGGGCUCGCGGCCUAUCAGCUUGUUGGUGGGGGGAUGGCCUACAAAGGCGGUGACGGGUAGCCGGCCUGAGGGGGGGAGCGGACACAUUGGAGCGGAAGUACGUCUCAGAAUGGUACGGGAGGCCGCAGUGGGGGUUAUUGCGCAGUGGGCGAAAGCCUGAUGCUGCGACGCCGCGUUGGGGAUGAAGGUUGUCUGGUUGUAAGCCUGUUUCGCUAGCGAAGGGGUAGGUGGAGAAGAAGCGCCGGCUAACUACGUGCCAGCAGCCGCGGUAAUAC
rnacentral:rRNA from 1 species